rnacentral:lncRNA from 1 species
AUAGAUACAUAUAUCAUUGUUGAUUGCUGGGUAAAAUUCUAAGAAUCAGCUCCUAAAGUUUAGACUACUGAAACCAAAAUGGGAAGGCGAAUAAGACCAAAAACUCCUUCCUGGGCUCCAAAUGCAGGGGUGCAAGGAUUCAAGAAACCAGAAAUCUACGGCUCCCUAGGAGGAAACCUGGACAAGUAGACAACACUAGUUCUUAACAGUGCUGAAUGCACAUUGUAAUGGGGACAAGAUGUUCAGACGCAGUCAAUCAGCUUUAACCAUGAUAUAGUAAGAAAUGACCAAAUACUGAAAACUACGAAAAUAGCUGAAAAUGAUUCAUAUAUACAGAUGAAGCAAAUCUUAAUCUGACGUAUCAACAUACGACAGACAGAAAUUCUAGGUACAUAUAUCAUUGUUGGGUAAAUUCUAAGAAUCAGCUCCUAAAGCUUAGACUGCUG